ACGUAUACAAACAUGGAUGGACGAACAUGGACGAGCGUGGACGAAACCUCACAUUAAUAUUCUGCUUUAUCAGGUUAAAUUGACAAGACAAGACAAGUUGGAAGGUGCACACGACAUUUUUGUUUGCAUAACCUUUGGCAUUACGGUUCAUUGGCAUUAAUUUCACUGCUAGAAACCUCUCUUUAAGGGAAGCGACCACCUGGUGUCCUGGUAUCAGGAGAUCAGA